rnacentral:tRNA from 1 species
GCCAGGUUAGUGUAGUGGUAACACGUCUUCGCCCCAAGGCAAGAAGACCCAGGUUCGAUUCCUGGACCAGGCA